AAAUUGCCGGUGAUAGCGAUAAAUAUACUUUGUAGCGUUUCGCUGUGAAAUGAACUUAAAUCUGAGGCAAUUG